CAAAGAGAGAGAAACAAGCCUGCUCUGAAACACAGAGCAAGUCCAUGACAUUCCCAUAACAAGCAGAAACCCUGCAGUGCCAGGCUGGGAGUGACCCCAGAUGAAGUGAACCUGCUGGACAAAAUGACUUCUCGCUUAAAGGACCUCAGCAAUGUUUCCUUCAGCUACGACGAGGCCAACUGCAGCACUCUGCAGAUUGGGCAGUACUCCACCCUCAGCAUUCCUACACAGGAGGCGUUUGGGGACAGGUUUGCAGAUGAGCUGAGUGUGCUGAUGAAGCUCAGGUACUCACUGCAGGAGGACACCAGCCUGUUGACCAUCCUGAGCCAUCGGAGCCACGUGCUCUUCCAGAUCCGGGUUAGCCCAUAUAGCUUGGUCUUUGCCACCACGAGGAGGAGGC
rnacentral:lncRNA from 1 species